rnacentral:rRNA from 1 species
GAUGAACGCUGGCGGCGUGCCUAAUACAUGCAAGUCGAGCGAACAGACGAGGAGCUUGCUCCUCUGACGUUGGCGGCGGACGGGUGAGUAACACGUGGAUAACCUACCUAUAAGACAGGGAUAACUUCGGGAAACCGGAGCUAAUACCGGAUAAUAUAUUGAUCCGCAUGGUUGAAUAGUGGAGGACGGUUUUGCUGUCACUUCUAGAUGGAUCCGCGCCGCAUUAGCUAGUGGGUAAGGUAACGGCUUACCAAGGCGACGAUGCGUAGCCGACCUGAGAGGGUGAUCGGCAACACUGGAACUGAGAAACGGUCAAGCCUCCUACGGGAGGCAGCAGUAGGGAAUCUUCCGCAAUGGGCGAAAGCCUAACGGAGCAACGCCGCGUGAGUGAUGAAGGUCUUCGGAUCGUAAAACUCUGUUAUUAGGGAAGACCAAAUAUGUAAGUACCUAUGCACGUCUUGACGGUACCUAAUCAGAAAGCCACGGCUAACUCCGUG